UCGAAGCGAGUCCCUUCGGGGGCUUAGCGGCGGACGGGUGAGUAACACGUAGGCAACCUGCCCGUAAGCUCGGGAUAACAUGGGGAAACUCAUGCUAAUACCGGAUAGGGUCUUCUCUCGCAUGAGAGGAGACGGAAAGGUGGCGCAAGCUACCACUUACGGAUGGGCCUGCGGCGCAUUAGCUAGUUGGUGGGGUAACGGCCUACCAAGGCGACGAUGCGUAGCCGACCUGAGAGGGUGACCGGCCACACUGGGACUGAGACACGGCCCAGACUCCUACGGGA
rnacentral:rRNA from 1 species